CCGAAAAUUCUCUCUCAAUUGUUCAACCGAGCCGCCGCCGCGUUCGGCAUCGUCGGGGCGCUCUGUUUUCCGAUGGAGACGGCGACCAGCGACGCGGAAGAGGAGAAGAAGGCCACGUUCGAGGCGUCGGAGAUAGAGUACGCGAGCUACGGCGGAGAGCACCACCUCCCCCUUAUCAUGGGCCUCGUCGACCACGAGCUCAGCGAGCCCUACUCCAUCUUCACCUACCGUUACUUCGUCUAUCUCUGGCCUCAGCUCUCCUUCCUGGCGUUUCACAAGGGCAAGUGCGUGGGGACCGUGGUGUGCAAGAUGGGCGAGCAUCGAAGCACCUACCGAGGUUACAUUGCGAUGCUGGUCGUCAUCAAGCCCUACCGAGGGAAAGGAAUCGCCACGGAACUUGUGAGUAGAUCUAUCAGAGUCAUGAAGGAGUCUGGCUGCGAAGAGGUGACUUUGGAAGCAGAAGUCACAAAUAAAGGAGCCCUGGCACUUUAUGGUCGUCUUGGAUUCAUUAGGGCCAAGAGGCUCUUCCGAUACUAUCUGAAUGGAGUUGAUGCAUUCCGUUUAAAGUUGCUAUUUCCACAGCGUGAGCUACACCCUUCUCUGGUUAUGAUGGCACACAAUGAUGCUAGUCAGAGGCAUGCUUCUAACAGACCAUUGGAAGAGUUCCCUGAGCAACAAGAAAGGUUUUAGUGUGUACAUCACUUUCCUUUUACUUGGAAAUUAUAGAUGUUUCACUUUAUGGAAAUCUUGUUUUGCACGAAGAGACUGUUCUUCUAUGGGGGAAAGUGUCAGCAAUAAGUGAAAGGGGGCAGGAGGAAUGAGGAAUUUGAAAAUACUGGCCUCGACCUGUUCCAUUGUAGAUGAUCCUGCUGGUAAGCUUGACUCGUCCAAGGACAGUUCUUGUAUACAAUGUCCAUUCAAUUUUGGUUCUCUUAUGGUCCAAUUUCGGAGAUAAAAUCAAAUUUCCUAUUACUUGUGAUGAUGCAUUAGGGUAUAAUUUCAAAUUGGUCUAUGUGAUUGC